ensembl:snRNA U6 U6 spliceosomal RNA
GUGUUUGCUUUGGCAGGACAUAUACUAUAACUGGAACGAUACAGAGAAGAUCGGCAUGGCCCGGCACAAGGAUGACCCACAAAGUCGUGAGGCAUUCUAGAUUAAA